rnacentral:rRNA from 1 species
GAUGAACGCUGGCGGCGUGCCUAAUACAUGCAAGUCGAGCGAACAGACGAGGAGCUUGCUCCUCUGACGUUAGCGGCGGACGGGUGAGUAACACGUGGAUAACCUACCUAUAAGACUGGGAUAACUUCGGGAAACCGGAGCUAAUACCGGAUAAUAUAUUGAACCGCAUGGUUCAAUAAUGAAAGACGGUUUUGCUGUCACUUAUAGAUGGAUCCGCGCCGCAUUAGCUAGUUGGUAAGGUAACGGCUUACCAAGGCAACGAUGCGUAGCCGACCUGAGAGGGGGAUCGGCCACACUGGAACUGAGACACGGUCCAGACUCCUACGGGAGGCAGCAGUAGGGAAUCUUCCGCAAUGGGCGAAAGCCUGACGGAGCAACGCCGCGUGAGUGAUGAAGGUCUUCGGAUCGUAAAACUCUGUUAUUAGGGAAGAACAAAUGUGUAAGUAACUAUGCACGUCUUGACGGUACCUAAUCAGAAAGCCACGGCUAACUACGUG